rnacentral:rRNA from 1 species
CACGUAGGGCGCGAGCGUUGUUCGGAAUUAUUGGGCGUAAAGAGCUCGUAGGCGGCCUGUUGCGUCCGCUGUGAAAGCCCGGGGCUUAACCCCGGGUCGGCAGUGGAUACGGGCAGGCUAGAGGUAGGUAGGGGAGAAUGGAAUUCCCGGUGUAGCGGUGAAAUGCGCAGAUAUCGGGGGGAACACCGGUGGCGAAGGCGGUUCUCUGGGCCUUACCUGACGCUGAGGAGCGAAAGCGUGGGGAGCGAACAGG